rnacentral:tRNA from 1 species
GCACCUUGCGCCAGAUGGGAAGGCAGCGGUCUUACACACCGCGAUUGACCGUGUUCGAUCCACGGAAGGUGUACCA